rnacentral:lncRNA from 1 species
GCCCUCCCGACGCCACUCGCCGCCCCCAUCCAUUUUCGCAGCAGACUCGUCCCUAACCCCAGCCCGGAGACUUUCACUUUGUCCCAUGCCUCCCGAGCACCCCUCCCCGCCCCGGUGGGGGCAGCUCCUGGCUCCGAGCCCCCACCUCGGGGCUCCCAGCCUGGUCCCGGGCGGCCGACCCCAGCAGCCACAGGCAUCCUACGCUGUGUGCACACAGCAUAUCACCGGGAGAGACGGCACGGAAAGAUGGCCCUGCCCUCAAGGAGCUGCAGUCUGCCCAGGAAGGCAGACAGGGGACAGAAAAGCAGGCAGAUCUGCUAGUAAGCAAACUACAGCUCCCCCGAGGAGACACACAGGCAGUGGGUAAGAGGAACAGACCCAUGGCUCCACUGAAGACACAGAGCAGCAGACGAAAAAGACAUGUCCUAAAUGUUAAAUGGUAAGGAGGGGUAGGGUGAAAAAAGGGAACAUGGAUGCCAGGCAGAAGAAAUAAAAGCCUUUCCAAACAUUUGUAUUACAUGAUGCUGGCUCUCACUGAUAAACCACUGGAUGAGAACUGUACUUCAUCCAUAUCAUCCUGUUGGUUGCAGAUCCCGUCACCCCAUAUCUAAAACAUAUUUCCUUCUGGAGCUUUACUGUUGAUACUGCUUUGAGAUGUAUCAUUUGGUUUUGGUUUUACAUAUUUAACAUUUUAAUGAAAGGGUGACUUGAGUAAGGCACUACUUUUUCAAUAAAUAGCAACAGAACCAAUUUGCCUGGGAGGAGACCUGCCAGCAAGCCAUGAGGGGCAUUUCCAAAAUUUCCAGUAUAGGCUGCUCCCAAUUUCUGCCUCCACUUUAAAAACACUUUGCACUUACUAGUGUUAUUCCAGGAGAGCCAGUUAAUAGUUUAAUGAAACUAGUUAGAGUUUAAAGGCAGCAAAUGGGAUAAUUUAAAAUAAUCAUCCCAUUUUUAUUGAUGGUUCUCAAAUCUCUCUCCAGAUCUGACAUUUUGCCCUAGCUCAGACUUGUACCUACACUUUCUAUUCAGACUAACGUCCUCCAUAGUUUUAGGACAUCACCAUCCCAACUUGGGCACUGACAGCCCACAGGCCACAUCCUCCUCAAGUAGCAACUCAUGAACCCAGAGAACUGACUGAAAUAGUUCAGUGUUUCUUGAGCUCCCCAAGGCCUUCAGGCUUCUGUGCAGAGUGGAAGUGGUAGUGGUAGUGGCACAAGUAUGCUAAUUGCCACAGUACACUCUCCAAGGUAAGUGUAACCGGGCCCAUUCUACAGAUAAACUAAAGGUUAGGUAAAUUAAAUCUCCUGGCCCAUCCACAUCUAAUCAUCAUCAGGGCCAGGAUUCAAGUCCAGUUCUAACAACAAAAGCCAUGCCAAUGGUAACAGAGUGCGUGUGAGCUGCUAAGUACUUCUGUGUAUUAACUCAUGCCAUUAAAGUCCGUAGAUGCCAUAGGGUGACCCAGAGCCACACUGGGUAGGCCCCUCCAGGCAUUCCUUUGUCUUCCAAAUACCAACUGAGGUGCAGGCUUAUUACCCUUACGUUACUACUGGCACAAGUAAAACUUCUUCCUGCAUAUACCUUAAGACGGGGGUCUCCAGUCCCCAGGGUACAAACCACUACCAGCCUGUUAGGAACUGGGCCACAAAGCAGGAAGUGAGCGGCAGGCAAGUGAGCAAAGCUUCAUCUGUAUUUACAGAUGCUCCCCCUGGCUUGCAUUACCGCCUGAGCUCUACCUCCUGUCACAUCAGCAGCGGCAUUAGAUUUUCAUAGGACCACGAAUCCUAUUGUGAACUGCGCAUGUGAGGGAUCUGGGUUGCGUGCUUCUUUUGAGAAUCUAAUGUCUGAUGAUCUGUCACUGUUUUCCAUCACCCUCAGGUGGGACUGUCCAGUUGCAGGAAAACAAGCUCAGGGCUCCUACUGAUUCUACAUUAUAGGGAGUUGUAUAAUUAAUUCAUUACAUAUUACAAUGUAAUAAUAAUAGAAAUAAAGUGCACAAUAAAUGUAAUGCGCUUGAAUCAUCCUGAAACCAUCCUUCCCCUCAGCCCAUGGAAAAGCUGUCUUCCACAAAGCUGGUCCCUGGUUCCAAAAAGGUUGGGGACCUCUGCUGUAUACCACUGUAGUCUUAUAAACACUGUUUACUUAAUUAACCUAAACAUUUAAAAUGUUUCCUUUCUUCAAUAAUAAAUUAACCUUAGCUUACUGUAACUUUUUUCACUUUAUAAAGUUUAAAAUUAACCUCAUGGGCCUAGCACCUCAAAUCUCCCCCGCUUCUCUCUCCCCAAGCCAGCUUGCCCUCUCUUAGCUCCCUGUGGCCCUAUUUCUGUCAGCUGCAGCAGAGUUCUAGAAGAAGUGCCUGGCGUGCUCUCUGUCCAUUCCCACUCCUUCCAUCAGUCACCAUGCCCUCUAGAUUCAUUCUUCACUUCAUGGAGUUUCCUGUUCGGCAUGCUCCUCGGUUUUUGCAAGGGCUCUGCCAACUACAGGGCCACGUCAUGCCAGUGACUGCACUGGUCUCCUCCCUGGCCUCAGUGUGUCUCCACACCCCUCCCCCCAACAUUCCAGUUCUGGGCAUUCUGUAUAUUAAUGUGUUCUCUUAUUUGAAGACCUGUGACAAUUCCUAGUACGUCCAAACUAUCGGUCUGCUAGUUAGUUAACAGCCUCCACAAUUGGGUUCCCAAUCACCUACACCACCAUGUAGUGAAGUUAGUUACUGCAGUACCCCAUCCUGAUUCCUUUCCCUGGGUUUUUACCAAUGCCUUUCUCUCUUACCCAAUCUAGAAUGUCCCCUCUUCACUUCUGCUUAUUCAAACACAUCAACUCAACUAACAUUCAUUGAGCCCUCAUUCUAGUGAACACACUGUGCAAAGAGCACAGCACGAGGCACUGAGUGAACAAGGAGCACAGCACGAGGCACUGAGUGAACAAGGAGCACAGCACGAGGCACUGUGCGAAGCAUGUUCCAGUUUCAACUCUAUCCCUACACAGAGUCCGCUCUGCUCUCUCUCCCUUCUCUGAAAAACAACAAUUCCUGUUUAUGACUAGAAUUAAUAAGCACUUCUGCCAUUAAAAGGUCUAUAGAUCUUCCACCAAAUUGUGGAUUCCUUUCCAGCAAGAGGUGGGUCUCUCUGUUCUCUCCUCCUGAGCCUGGGUAGACCUUUGUAACUGUCUUGACCAACAGAAUGUGACAGAAUGAUACCAGGUGACUUCUAAGACUACAUCAUACAAAGCAACACAGCUUCUGCUGGGCUCUCCCUCUCUGGACACGUGUCUUUGAAGCCCUGAGCUGCCAGAUUAAACAGUCCGGCUUGCCUAAAGUCACCACGCUGGAGAGACCAUCAGGGAUGGAGAGGUGCUACAGAAACCCUAGCUAUUCUAGUCCCCAGCCAUUUGAGUCUUCCUAGCCCAGACUCAUAAGUGAAGAAACCUUCAAGAUGAUUCCAAUACCUCCUAUCACUUGACUGCAACCUCGUGAAAGCCUAAGCCAGACCUGCACGGUGGAGCCAUUCCUAAAUUCUGGUCCCACAGAAACUGUGAAAGAUAAUAAAUGAUCAUCAUUGCUUUACAUUGGGCUAAUUUUUAUUAUCAGGGGUAACGUGUUACAUAGCGAUAGGCAACUAAUACAAGAUUCAUUACUAAAACCA